rnacentral:rRNA from 1 species
AGAGUUUGAUCCUGGCUCAGGAUGAACGCUGGCGGCGUGCUUAACACAUGCAAGUCGAACGAACCUUCGGGUUAGUGGCGGACGGGUGAGUAACGCGUGGGAAUCUGCCCUCAGGAGGGGGAUAACGGCUGGAAACGGCCGCUAAUACCCCAUAUGCCGAGAGGUGAAAUGAAUUUCGCCUGAGGAUGAGCCCGCGUCUGAUUAGCUUGUUGGUGAGGUAAUGGCUCACCAAGGCUUCGAUCAGUAGCUGGUCUGAGAGGAUGAUCAGCCACACUGGGACUGAGACACGGCCCAGACUCCUACGGGAGGCAGCAGUGGGGAAUUUUCCGCAAUGGGCGAAAGCCUGACGGAGCAACGCCGCGUGAGGGAUGAAGGCCUCUGGGCUGUAAACCUCUUUUCUCAAGGAAGAAGAUCUGACGGUACUUGAGGAAUAAGCCACGGCUAAUUCCGUGCCAGCAGCCGCGGUAAUACGGGAGUGGCAAGCGUUAUCCGGAAUUAUUGGGCGUAAAGCGUCCGCAGGCGGCCUUUCAAGUCUGCUGUUAAAACGUGGAGCUUAACUCCAUCAAGGCAGUGGAAACUGUUGGGCUUGAGUGUGGUAGGGGCAGAGGGAAUUCCCGGUGUAGCGGUGAAAUGCGUAGAUAUCGGGAAGAACACCAGUGGCGAAGGCGCUCUGCUGGGCCAUAACUGACGCUCAUGGACGAAAGCCAGGGGAGCGAAAGGGAUUAGAUACCCCUGUAGUCCUGGCCGUAAACGAUGAACACUAGGUGUCGGGGGAAUCGACCCCCUCGGUGUCGUAGCCAACGCGUUAAGUGUUCCGCCUGGGGAGUACGCACGCAAGUGUGAAACUCAAAGGAAUUGACGGGGGCCCGCACAAGCGGUGGAGUAUGUGGUUUAAUUCGAUGCAACGCGAAGAACCUUACCAGGGUUUGACAUCCUGCGAACCUCUAAGAAAUUGGAGGGUGCCUUCGGGAACGCAGUGACAGGUGGUGCAUGGCUGUCGUCAGCUCGUGUCGUGAGAUGUUGGGUUAAGUCCCGCAACGAGCGCAACCCACGUUUUUAGUUGCCAGCAUUCAGUUGGGCACUCUAGAGAGACCGCCGGUGAUAAACCGGAGGAAGGUGUGGAUGACGUCAAGUCAUCAUGCCCCUUACAUCCUGGGCUACACACGUACUACAAUGCUACGGACAAAGGGCAGCAAACUCGCGAGAGCUAGCAAAUCCCAUAAACCGUGGCUCAGUUCAGAUCGUAGGCUGCAACUCGCCUACGUGAAGGAGGAAUCGCUAGUAAUCGCAGGUCAGCAUACUGCGGUGAAUACGUUCCCGGGCCUUGUACACACCGCCCGUCACACCAUGGAAGUUGGCCACGCCCGAAGUCGUUACUCCAACCCUUGUGGAGGAGGACGCCGAAGGUGGGGCUGAUGACUGGGGUGAAGUCGUAACAAGGUAGCCGUACCGGAAGGUGCGGCUG